CUUUAAACAGCCUCAGUUUGUGAUUCUGAGAUCUCUAAUUAAGAUACAUCUCAUUACUUGACUGGCAACAUUUUCUUCAGCUAAAUCCAAAAAACAUUGACCAGAAAAGCCUCACUCCUCUAGCAGACUGAAUGCUGCUCCCUUAUUUGCAGGCUUUCACCUGGGGCUCCUGAGGGUGUGAGCGUUGUGCCCGGUUGAGCUAUUAAAUGACCAGCAUUUCCCAAAAGAACGUGAAAGGAUUCCCAGCUUGCAACCUCCAAGCGACUGUGCAGAGGUGACAUGCUGUGAAACAGAAUGAGAUGACAGAUGCCAUCUAAGUGACAAUGUUGCUCUGCACCAAUUUUUUCACUCACUGGAAUGGAUGAUACUUGAGGAAACCAGCUCACUGAUUACUGGAUUGUGCCAUCUGAAGCUGAGAUCCAAGAGAUUUUAUAUCCUCUGAGAACCAUAUAUCCUGGAGAAAACUGAUUUAUGUAGAAAAUGGUUUUCACCUAGCAUAACAUACUGUGAAGGAAAAAUGAGAGACAAUUAAACAAACUGUCUGCCUUCCUAAGUUAGAACUUUCUCCAUUCCAGCUAAGGAGGUAAAUAAUAAGACAUUAUCUAUUAUUGCAUUUCUCUAUUAUUGAAUCAGCUUUAAAUAAAAGUCUUGAU
rnacentral:lncRNA from 1 species